rnacentral:lncRNA from 1 species
AUUCCCUUUUGCACCAGGAAACGGUUUGUACAAACACACGUCUGACCUGAGUUUCUAUACUUGGAAGCAAGGGCUCCUGCAACAGCACGGUCCACAUCAGCACUGUCAAACACUAUAAAAGGAGCAUGCCCUCCAAGCUCCAUGGAAACUCGCUUCACAGUGCCAGCUGCAUGUUUCAGCAGUAUCUUUCCUGUUGCAGUAGAGCCCGUAAAAGAUAUUUUGGCUACCAAUGGAUCAGUGCACAGAACUUCCCCUACAG